GAAGCUGAGUCAGAGAGUCGCCAUGAUGCUCCCACUCCAGACAGACGCAGGUUAAGAUCCUCUCUGCCAGGAGCGAGGCUUUCUCCUCUCCAUACCAGCGGGCUCCCAUCUCAGCUGCGCUCAAGGGUUGACCCAGACUCGCUCUCCUGCAGGGAGAGCACAGACAAAGAACAAACCGCUAUUGGCCUUAGAGACACACAGCUUCAGAGAAACAGGGCCAAGAAUGACUGUGGACACUGCCUCUGCACACACUCCUUGAAGAGCUACCACUGCACCAGCCAUGCAGCCUGCAUUCUCCUCUGAGCAUAGGUGAGCCCAAUCCAUGUCUCCCCACAGGCCAAACCAAAGGCCCUGCACAGGAGUGUGGUGGGGGGAGAUUCAGAAACGUGCUGGUUGAGUUGAGUAGAACUUGACACAGAAUCCGAACAUGGCCCUGAGUUUGUCUCGGAGUGAGGAAAGAAAAGGCUUGGAAAUGAAACGCCUCUUCCACAGCUCUCUGGAGAGCACACCCUUCUGCCUGUGACAAUGGACUGUGAGCUUGUCUGGGCACA